rnacentral:rRNA from 1 species
AUACGAAGGGUGCAAGCGUUGUUCGGAUUUACUGGGCGUAAAGCGUCCGUAGGUGGUUUGUUAAGUCAGGGGUGAAAUCCCGGGGCCUAACCCCGGAACUGCCUUUGAUACUGGCAGGCUGGAGCGCGAUAGAGGAAGAUGGAAUAUCUGGUGUAGGGGUGAAAUCCGUAGAUAUCAGAUAGAACACCAAUGGCGAAGGCAGUCUUCUGGAUCGUUGCUGACACUGAGGGACGAAAGCGUGGGUAGCAAACAGAAUUAGAUACUCUGGUAGUCCACGCCCUAAACGAUGCAUGCUUGUUGUUGGUUUCCUUCGGGGAAUCAGUGACGAAGCUAACGCGUUAAGCAUGCCGCCUGGGGACUACGAUCGCAAGAUUAAAACUCAAAGGAAUUGACGGGG